UGAGUAACACGUGGGCAAUCUGCCCUGCACUUCGGGAUAAGCCUGGGAAACUGGGUCUAAUACCGGAUAGGACCUUUAGACGCAUGUCUUUUGGUGGAAAGCUUUUGCGGUGUGGGAUGGGCCCGCGGCCUAUCAGCUUGUUGGUGGGGUGAUGGCCUACCAAGGCGACGACGGGUAGCCGGCCUGAGAGGGUGUCCGGCCACACUGGGACUGAGAUACGGCCCAGACUCCUACGGGAGGCAGCAGUGGGGAAUAUUGCACAAUGGGCGCAAGCCUGAUGCAGCGACGCCGCGUGGGGGAUGACGGCCUUCGGGUUGUAAACCUCUUUCACCAUCGACGAAGGUUCGGGUUUUCUCGGAUUGACGGUAGGUGGAGAAGAAGCACCGGCCAACUACGUGCCAGCAGCCGCGGUAAUACGUAGGGUGCGAGCGUUGUCCGGAAUUACUGGGCGUAAAGAGCUCGUAGGUGGUUUGUCGCGUUGUUCGUGAAAUCUCACGGCUUAACUGUGAGCGUGCGGGCGAUACGGGCAGACUAGAGUACUGCAGGGGAGACUGGAAUUCCUGGUGUAGCGGUGGAAUGCGCAGAUAUCAGGAGGAACACCGGUGGCGAAGGCGGGUCUCUGGGCAGUAACUGACGCUGAGGAGCGAAAGCGUGGGGAGCGAACAGGAUUAGAUACCCUGGUAGUCCACGCCGUAAACGGUGGGUACUAGGUGUGGGUUUCCUUCCUUGGGAUCCGUGCCGUAGCUAACGCAUUAAGUACCCCGCCUGGGGGAGUACGGGCCGCAAGGCUAAAACUCAAAGGAAUUGACGGGGGGCCCGCACAA
rnacentral:rRNA from 1 species